AGUCUGCAACUCGACUGCACGAAGUCGGAAUUGCUAGUAAUCGCGGAUCAGCAUGCCGCGGUGAAUACGUUCCCGGGCCUUGUACACACCGCCCGUCACACCAUGAGAGUCGGGAACACCCGAAGUCCGUAGUCUAACCGCAAGGAGGACGCGGCCGAAGGUGGGCUUGAUAAUUGGGGUGAAGUCGUAACAAGGUAAC
rnacentral:rRNA from 1 species